rnacentral:misc_RNA from 1 species
CCUGAAGCUGCUCUCGGUGCGGAUCGAUACCUUUCUUCACUUACCACUAUUAGCGAUGUUGAAGUUUCAACCGAUUUGCAGGUUGUAAAGGUCUAUGUCUCCGUAUUUGGAGACGAAAGAGGAAAGGAAGUGGCUUUGACGGGCUUGAAGUCAAAAGCAAAAUAUGUAAGGAGUGAGCUAGGGAGGCGAAUGAAGUUGCGACUGACUCCUGAGAUUCGUUUCAUUGAAGAUGAGUCCCUUGAACGAGGAAGCAGGGUACUUGCUAUAUUGGACAGGAUUAAGGAUGAGAAUGAAAAUAAGG